GACGAACCGUGCGAACGUUAUUCGGAAUCACUGGGCUUAAAGCGCGUGUAGGCGGGACGGCACGUCCGUCGCUGAAAUCCCCCGGCUCAACCGGGGAACUGGCGGGGAUACGACCGUCCUGGAGGGACGUAGGGGGACCUGGAACUUCCGGUGGAGCGGUGAAAUGCGUUGAGAUCGGAAGGAACGCCCGUGGCGAAAGCGACUUUCUGGUCCUUAACUGACGCUGAGGCGCGAAAGCAUGGGGAGCGAACGGG
rnacentral:rRNA from 1 species